rnacentral:rRNA from 1 species
UACGGGGGGAGCAAGCGUUGUUCGGAUUUACUGGGCGUAAAGGGCGCGUAGGCGGCCACGACAAGUCACUUGUGAAAUCUCCGGGCUUAACUCGGAACGGUCAAGUGAUACUGUCGGGCUAGAGUGCAGAAGGGGCAACUGGAAUUCUCGGUGUAGCGGUGAAAUGCGUAGAUAUGACAUAGAACACCAAUUGCGAAGGCAGCUUACUAAGCAAAUAUUGACGCUGAGGCACGAAAGCGUGGGGAUCAAACAGG